CGCGUUCAGUUCACCGGCACCGCGCGCGUACGUCGCCUUGGCCAGCGCCGCAACGCCUGACCGUACGGCCCGCGAGUGGCAGCGCAGUAGUGGUGUGGGACGCAUCGCAGUGCAGUGAAGUGAAGUGCAGUGCAGUGAAGUGGUGUGCAUCGGGGUCAGCUUCAACUUCAACAAGGGCCGAAGAAAACGCCGCAUCGUCGUCGUGCAGUGGGGAGGUCCGCUGCUCGACGAGGCCCGCCGAGGCCUCUCAGGACAGCCCAGCAGAGGUCUGCGGCCGCGCGGCCAUGCGGAGGCCGUGAGCACGCCGACCUAGGCCGCGGAGCAGGAUGCGCGUCCUGGCGCUGGCGCUGGUGCUGCUGGCCGCGGCCGGGCCGCAGCAUGGCGUGGCCGCGGGGGCCUCUGCCUCGGCCCCCGCCUCGGCCCCCGCCUCGGUCACCGCCUCGGCCGCCCUGUCCCGGCUGCGGCUGGACGCCACCCGGAUGCUGGACGUGCUGGACCAGCUGCAGGGGGCCCAGUGCCGCAACCAUACCAGACAGCUGCUGGACGCCGCGGCCAACCUGACGGCGUGGGCGAGCCUCAUGAUGGACGCGACGGCCAAGACGGGCAGCGACCUGCUGCGCGGCAACGAGUACGUUCUCGGCGGCUUCGACGAGUGCCUGUCGGUGCCGGUGUCGCCCGUGCCGCCCCAGUACUGCCUGGCCGAGGUCCGCGUCAGCAGCGUCAGCGUGGACGCCGGUGGCCGCCCUACAACGCCGGCGCUGCCGACGAGGACCGGCGUCAGCACGCCGCCGACAACACCGCCGGCGAGCGCGCCUGCAACGACGACGACGCCGCAGCCGCCGGGGCAGCAGCGGCAGCAGCAGCAGCAGACGACGACCUCCGACACGACCAAGGCCAACACCUUCCAGCCCCUCUGGCCGAACAGGAACCAAGUGGGCGGCCGCUACUGGACGCUCGCGGCCCCGGAGCAGCGGGUGCGCUGGGGGGCGUGCCUGCCCGCGGCCUGCGGCCCGCACGACCUCGCCGUGCUGCUGCGCGCCGCCCUGCGCCUGGACCCCGCCGCGGGGCUGGACCCCGGCGCGCCCGAGGCCCUGGCCGGCCUGCGCCUCGACGUGACCGUGCCCCCGCGCACCUGCCAGGACAGCGCCGCCAAGCCCUUCCAGGGCGCCGAGCUCGUCGUCAUCGGGGUCUUCAUCGGCUUCCUCUCACUCCUCGUCAUCGCCACGGUGUACGACGUGUUCCUGGCGUCCGAGUCGGACUUGGAGACCAAAGCCAUACUGCCGCAGGUGCUCGUGUCGUUCUCGGUGCGCAGCAACCUGGAGAAGCUGGUGCGCUGGUCGCCGAGUGAGCUGGGCCUGGACUGCGUGCUCGGCAUCAAGUUCUACUGCAUGCUGCUCAUCACGGCGGGCCACGGCGUCGUGUUCCUCGCCACCGGGCCCAUCACCAACGCGGACUUUGUCCAGCAGGCGGUGCGCGAGCCUCAGCACAGCUACCUCCUCAACGGCAUGCUGCUGGUGGACUCUUUCCUCGUCGUCAGCGGCUUCCUCCUCACCCGCCUCCUGCUCCUCGAGCUGGACAAGCGGGGCAGCGUCAACUUUGGCCUGCUCUAUAUCUUCAGAUACAUAAGACUGACGCCGUCCUACCUGGCGGUGGUGGCGCUGUACGCCACGCUGCUGCCCAGGCUCGGGUCGGGGCCGCUGUGGCCGUCCAGGAUCCUCCUGGAGCAGGACCGCUGCCGGGCGUCCUGGUGGACCAACCUGCUUUACGUCAAUAACUACGUCAACACGGAUCAGCUGUGCAUGUUUCAGUCCUGGUACAUCAGCGCGGACACGCAGCUCUUCAUGCUCGCGCCGCUGGUGGUGUACCCGCUGUGGCGCUGGCCCACCCUGGGCCGCCUGCUCGCCGUGCUGGCCACUUUCCUCUCCAUCCUCAUCCCCUUCGCCAUCACCUGGUCGCGGCACCUCGACCCCGUGCUGCUCAUCUUCCCCAGGGAGAUUUGGCAAGGAGACCUGUCCGGUAACGCCAUGUACCAGACAGCCAUCGUGCGGACGCACAUGAGGGCGAGCAGCUACAGCUGCGGGCUGCUGCUCGGCUGGUUCGUGCACCGCUUUCAGAGCACUGAGAGAGAGGUGUCCCAGAGGACGGUGCGCCUGGGCUGGGCGGCCGCCGUGCUGGUCGGCGUCUCCUGCAUGUUCUCCGUGUCGGUGUUCUACCAGGCCGGCCACGCCUACAACCCCCUGGAAGCAGCGCUGUACGCCUCGCUGCACCGGCUGGGCUGGUGCGUCGCCACCUCCUGGGUCAUCUUCGCCUGCGUCACGGGCAACGGCGGCGUGAUGCAGCGCGCGCUCACCUGGCGGCCGCUGGUGCCGCUCAGCCGCCUGACGUACUGCGCCUACCUGGUGAACGGCGCCGUCGUGCUGUGGGGGGUGGCCUCCGUGAGGCAGCCCCGCACGCUCUCCACGCCCACCCUGGCAAUGGAGGUCGUUGCACAAAUUUUCGCCACCUUCCUGGGAGCCCUCAUCCUCUCCCUCAUGUUGGAGUCACCUAUCCAUGGUCUUGAGCGGGCUCUCCUUGGAAGAUCUCAGUCCAGCUGCUGACGGUGUGUGUGCCACCCCGGCCGCCCCGCCCUGCACGUAGUGUCUAGCGAGCGUACAGAUCGCAAUGGAGAUAAAUCCGAUAAAAACGCCGAUGAAGAAAACAAACAACAUACAUCAAAUGACCAACACAAUUCAGAAGACCAAGCAUCGUCACAACUUUAAUAACAAAUCUUGCCCCUAGUACUCCUUUUUCGUAAUUAAGAAUUGUAAAUCAAAAUAAAAUUCGAGGUGGAUUUUCUA